rnacentral:rRNA from 1 species
UACGUAGGGAGCAAGCGUUGUCCGGAUUUACUGGGUGCAAAGGGUGCGUAGGCGGCUUUGCAAGUCAGAAGUGAAAUCCAUGGGCUUAACCCAUGAACUGCUUUUGAAACUGCAAGGCUUGAGUGAAGUAGAGGCAGGCGGAAUUCCCGGUGUAGCGGUGAAAUGCGUAGAGGUCGGGAGGAACACCAGUGGCGAAGGCGGCCUGCUGGGCUUUAACUGACGCUGAGGCACGAAAGCAUGGGUAGCAAACAGG